UACGUAGGGUGCGAGCGUUAAUCGGAAUUACUGGGCGUAAAGCGUGCGCAGGCGGUUUUGUAAGUCAGCUGUGAAAUCCCCGGGCUUAACCUGGGAACUGCGUUUGAAACUACAAGGCUAGAGUGUGGCAGAGGGGAGUGGAAUUCCACGUGUAGCAGUGAAAUGCGUAGAGAUGUGGAGGAACACCGAUGGCGAAGGCAGCCCCCUGGGUUAACACUGACGCUCAGGCACGAAAGCGUGGGGAGCAAACAGG
rnacentral:rRNA from 1 species